ensembl:lncRNA
AAAGAGACAGGCUGAAGACUGUGUCCACUAAAGUACGGAGCCUGCGAAUCAGGAAUCCCACACUCCACCAUUUUCUUGCUGUCAGCAAAUGCCUGCAAAACCCACACCCAAAGUGUGUGUCGUGCCUCCCCAGUGGCAAGCUCUAAGUCACUCUUGGCACUCCGUUUGUCCAAAUGUCAGAAAUGCUUGAGCAGAAGAGAGUGUCCCUAUCCUGCUGCUGAUCACUCCAGACAGCCACGUGUUAACAGGGUUCAGCGAGAAAGGGCAAACACUAAUACAGUAUAAAAAUACGUACUUGAAAUUCAGAAAGCUUCAGUUCUCUAUAAUCCCGUUUCAUGUUCUUCAUGUGUAUCACAAUAUUCACUACAGUAGUAGCGCUUUUCUUGUGACUCUUAGUAUACAGAGAAUAGGUGUGCAAUAGGGACCAGUUUGGUCAGGUUUCUAUAAUGUGGCCAUUGCUCUUCUACAGAAAGAAGGACAAGGUCAUAGAAGUAGAGAUGAGUUCAGAGUGACUGUGAAUGUGAGACCAGACAAAGGUUUCCAUGACCCUGUAGCUAAGGCCUUUUCUGUCACUUGAGAAGUUGUCUUUUGAGAGUAGAAAAUGGUCUUACAGUAAUCUGUUUAGCUGUGUAUGUUCAGUCAUACUGUUACAUCACACUGCCAUACAACCAAUGCCCAAAUGUUUUAAAGGAAAUUUAACCCCAAAACUACUAUGUUGGCCUAAAGUUCUCAAGAUUUCCCUUAACUUAGCAACCAUGACAGGCUGUUUGAACUAAGCCUUGGGACUACCCACUGAAACAAAUGCACCGAUGAAACAAGUGCUCAUGUGACAUUUUCCAGCAGUUCUGCUUAUAUUGCCACACUGCAGCUAUGAAUACUUCAUAGAUCAUUGCUGCAGAUUAGAUAAAUUCAGUCAUUUCAAAAGCUGACCAAAUCGGUGCAAAUCUAAGGGUAGCUAUGAUCUGAGGAUGCUACAUCAACUUCAUGUAGGCUAACAAGUAGUUUUCAGGAAGUAGAUACUUUAAUUAUUCUUCAUUUUAAGCUAGGUUUAAUCUGAGGUUCAGAAUUUAAAGCCUGUGUUUUGUAAUAUUCAUAGCCUUGGAUAUUCAGCCUUGAAGUAAUCUGUUUUUCCUGAAUACAGUAGGAUGAAUCCAAUUGACAAUGGGAUUGUCCUUUUGCCCACCAAACCUGAUAAGGAUUAUUGCAGCCACUUCAAUGUUUAGUUAAGACUUUAUUUAGAGGAAACAAACUGCAACAGAGCAAUCCAAACCUUUAGAAGAACAGCCAAGUCAGGCUCUUCAGUUCAGGCAUUACCAAUCUUUGAAAGCUCCUCUGAAUGGUUGAUUCGUGAGUCCAGAAGUUUAUUACGAAGACGAACAAUAUACCAAGCUCCUAUGCCUGAGGCCAAAUCAAUCCUUUCAAGGAAUCACCCACAGGAAGGAUAAUGUUGCUCAAACUCUGAGUCAAGGCAUGCUUACAACAAAUACGCUCAGAAGUAUAAAGAUGUGAUCGUAACCCAAGAUCCAGAUCCACUGGUGGAUGACCAUCACUAAGACAGCGCUAACCAAAACAGCUGAAAGAGUUCUGAGAGAUUCCAUUGCAAACCAUCAGCGUGACAUCAGUGCCAUAGGGGUGGUAGGGCAAAGGCCUGGCCCUGGGCAAAGCCGGGCAGCACUGCUGCCGGGGAGGCAGUGUGCGAGCGCAUGCAGACAGCAGAAAACGCCCGUGAAUCAUUUUGUUCCUUUUCGUCUUAGAAACGGUCAUCUUCCUAUUCCAAGCUGUACAAACACACAGCCGAUUAAAAGUUCUUGC